GAUGAACGCUGGCGGCGUGCCUAAUACAUGCAAGUCGAGCGAACAGACGAGGAGCUUGCUCCUCUGACGUUAGCGGCGGACGGGUGAGUAACACGUGGAUAACCUACCUAUAAGACUGGGAUAACUUCGGGAAACCGGAGCUAAUACCGGAUAAUAUAUUGAACCGCAUGGUUCAAUAGUGAAAGACGGUUUUGCUGUCACUUAUAGAUGGAUCCGCGCCGCAUUAGCUAGUUGGUAAGGUAACGGCUUACCAAGGCGACGAUGCGUAGCCGACCUGAGAGGGUGAUCGGCCACACUGGAACUGAGACACGGUCCAGACUCCUACGGGAGGCAGCAGUAGGGAAUCUUCCGCAAUGGGCGAAAGCCUGACGGAGCAACGCCGCGUGAGUGAUGAAGGUCUUCGGAUCGUAAAACUCUGUUAUUAGGGAAGAACAAAUGUGUAAGUAACUAUGCACGUCUUGACGGUACCUAAUCAGAAAGCCACGGCUAAAUACGUG
rnacentral:rRNA from 1 species